rnacentral:tRNA from 1 species
UGGCUCAGAGGAUAAAGCAUCUGCCUGCAAUGCAGGAGACCCGGGUUCGAUCCCUGG